AGGUGCAAUAAAACCGAUUUUUUUAUGUUUUUUUAUACACGUUCUUCUUGAAAAUAUCGAAACAAAUAUCGUUGAACAUUUGUUGAAUACAUCUCUACUGGAGCGCUAAAUGGCCACAGUCUCACUCACGAAUUCCUUUGUAUCUUCAUGUGAAAUCUCUAUUUGUUUGCAUUUCUAGCCGUUUCGACUAUAAAUACCAUUUAGAAUACAAGUGUCUUUCGACUGUAUGUACUAAAUUAAAUCAUGUCGGCUUUUAAUGCCGUAGAGCAAUAUAGGUAUAGUGCUAAAGCAAUAAUCAUAAUCUUUGAGCUUGGAUACAACUUGCGUUUCAACGAUAUGGUAUUUGAAACUGGUAAUACUUCUGUUGAAAAAAGAAGGUUUGUUCCAAUGGAUUCAGCUAGUUUCAGCUUGCAUAAAUUAAUAAUAUGUGCCUUCAGACACUGUGACGUGUCGUAAUAUCUUAGUAACGCUCCAUUUAGCAUUUGAACGGCGAAUAAAGUUAUAUUUAAUUCGUUUUUUUAAUGUAAUAAAUGCUCGUUGGAAGUUG